ACAAACGCGCGGAGCGCCCGUGACCGGCGCGGACCAUUUCGGAACAUUACUGAUAAUUAUUUCAGGCAACUGUCGUUGAAUAAAUCUGACUUAUCGAACAGGAGGCUAAAAUACUCUUGUAUGGCUUUUCGGGCGAGAAACCACCCCAGCGACGGUUAAUUCCAUCUGAUUCGUUUCAAUCUCCAUACGCCAGGAAAAUGUGCGGCGAAAAUACUGAGAUGAGGAAGGAAUGGCCAUAGAGUUGAGGAUUAUUUUUUUUAAGGAUUUUAUUCAUUUUUUUAAUAACAAAAGAUUAAUUUGUACAUGAUGAACCACAUUUCACAUUUGCAUAUGAUUAAAAACAGCCUACAUAUUAAGCAGGUAAAAUGUAAGUCACAGCAAAAACUAUGUAAAAUGGAAACUACAGUACCUCGAUAUUUAAUAUAAGAGGGUGCAAACAAGAUUUACUUUAUAAUUUGAAAUAAAUAUGUAAGAUUUUUGAAAAAUAUU